UAAAACAUUAAUAUUAAAAUAAUGAAAAUUUCUUAAAAUUCAGAUUUUUUUUAUUUAGUGUCAAACCAAGAGUUGUAGUAUGACCAGCAGGAGAGAAUUGAAGGCUCCAGUGAUUUUGGUGACACUACAAUAUAUAGAUGCUGAGAGACAAAAUGGUGGACAUCCAGAGGGGAGAGGUGAGUUAGACACGCGCACGGUCUCACGUAGGUGAUGGGUGUUUUGUGUGUGGGUGGCACAUUAUGCUGGUGACCUGUUUUGAUCACUUGUAUGUGUAAUUGAUUGUUUUGUCAGAGAUUGAAGACAGUAGACUUUGCUCCAUUGCUCAUGUGUUUCUUUCUUUCAGAUGCUGGGAGACAAAGCAGUGGACAUCCAGAGUCGAGAGAUGCUGAUGGACGGAGCGGUGGACAUCCACAGAUGCUGAUGGACAGAGCGGUGGACCUGCACAGAUGCUGGGAGACACAGCGGUGGAGCUCCACAGGUG
ensembl:lncRNA